rnacentral:lncRNA from 1 species
UCCUUAACCUUCGGCCCACGCCCACGGCCCCUACCCCAACCUGCUCCGGGACUGGCCCUCAGCCCUUACUCAGGCCAGCCGGUCAAACUUGGGACCAGGGCGCAACCUGAUGCCGUCAUCCCGCCCCCCCUCCACACCCCUAAAAAAUCCCGCCCCCCUUCCUUUCACCCCCUCGGCCCAGCCCACUGUGGAGAGAGGGAGGAGAAUGCUGGAGGAGGGAGCUGGCGGAGUGCAGUAAUUCGGGGGCCACUUUGGGGAAGUAGUUGUGGGGAACAGAGACCGAAUUGGAGGACUGAGGCAUGGCAGGGAUCAAAAGGAUGGGAGGAUAGGGCAAUUGCCAAAGUACUGUAGACGUGGAAAAAUGACUUGCCUAAGGUCAAACAGCUAGCAAGUGGUCAGAGCCAAGCCUUGGACCUAGAUCUUGUGACCAUAAAUCUCUUGAUCUGCCCACUAUCCUAAGCUGCCUCUAAGAAAGAUGGGAAUGCGGAAGAGGACUGGAGGGAGCCAAAUGGGAGGGUCUUGGCAAUUCUAAAAGAGGAAGGGAGUCUGCAUUUCAGACUCUUCAGCAGUCCAAGCAAAAGGGCAAGGCUGGCUCUCCCGAUGGUCCUCCGGUUCCCCUUGCGCAGAAGUGCCAGCUUUACCCUGGAGUGUAGAACCUUGUUUGAGACACCUGAUCCCAGCAUCCUUACCAUGGAAGCCAACGUGUUGGUGAUGGGAGCAGAAAACGUUGGGAAGUCAGCCCUGACUGUUCGCUUCCUGACCCGACGAUUCAUUGGAGAAUAUGGGGACCUGGGUGAGUCUUGGCCUGCUUGUUGCUGGGCAGAUGUUGCUGAU